AAUUUCUAACAGACUCUUUCCCCAAGAAUGGAAGCAUGCGAAAAUAAAAGCACCAAUGUGUCCUCGGCUCUUCGCAUAUAUGAAGACACACUAACAGCCGGUUAAGCCUCGACUCAUCAUCGAAAAAAGAAGCGCUCCUACUUUUAAUUUAGAGAAAGCUAUAGCCAGUUGGUGUUGAUUAGGCCAGAAUGAGAAUUCCACCACCAUUACAGAAGAAGCCUUGAACAGGAUUAGAAUGAUAACAUGGCAACCCCACUAUGUUAUGGCUGUGUUUGACUACGAUAGCCUUUACCCUUCUUUAAGGUUAGAACCAGUAUGCCUGGCCCUGUAUAGAUUUAUGAUGGAGAACCUAACGUUUGUCGAAGGGAGAGCAAGGCUUUUAAGGGACAUUGCCUACAUGCUUUGUCAUAAUUCUUAUUUUACUUUCCGAGAAGUUUACUACCAAC
rnacentral:lncRNA from 1 species